rnacentral:rRNA from 1 species
CUACGGGAGGCAGCAGUGGGGAAUUUUCCGCAAUGGGCGAAAGCCUGACGGAGCAAUACCGCGUGAGGGAAGACGGCCUAUGGGUUGUAAACCUCUUUUCUCAGGGAGGAAAUCAAUGACGUUACCUGAGGAAUAAGCAUCGGCUAACUCCGUGUCAGCAGCCGCGGUAAGACGGAGGAUGCAAGUGUUAUCCGGAGUCACUGGGCGUAAAGCGUCUGUAGGUGGCUUAACAAGUCAACUGUUAAAUCUUGAAGCUCAACUUCGAAAUCGCAGUCGAAACUGUUAGGCUAGAGUAUAGUAGGGGUAAAGGGAAUUUCCAGUGGAGCGGUGAAAUGCGUAGAUAUUGGAAAGAACACCGAUGGCGAAGGCACUUUACUGGGCUAUUACUGACACUCAGAGACGAAAGCUAGGGUAGCAAAUGGGAUUAGAUACCCCAGUAGUCCUAGCCGUAAACAAUGGAUACUAGAUGUUGAACAGAUCGACCUGUGCAGUAUCAAAGCUAACGCGUUAAGUAUCCCGCCUGGGAAGUAUGCUCGCAAGAGUGAAACUCAAAU